rnacentral:rRNA from 1 species
GAUGAACGCUGGCGGCGUGCCUAAUACAUGCAAGUCGAGCGAACAGACGCGGCGCUUGCUCCUCUCACGUUAGCGGCGGACGGGUGUGUAACGCGUGGAUAACCUACCUAUAAGACUGGGAUAACUUCGGGAAACCGGAGCUAAUACCGGAUAAUAUCUUGAACCGCAUGGUUCAAUAGUGAAUGUCGGCUUUGCUGUCAGUUAUCGAUGGUUACGAGCCGCAUUAGCUGGUUGGUAAGGUAACGGCUUACCAAGGCAACGAUGCGUAGCCGACCUGAUAGGGUGAUCGGCCACAUUGGAACGGAGACACGGUCCAGAGUCCUACGGGAGGCAGCAGUAGGGAAUCUGCCGCAGUGGGCGAAAGCCUGACGGAGCGACGCCGCGUGAGUGAUGAAGGUCUUCGGAUCGUAAAACUCUGUUAUUAGGGAAGAACAAAUGCGUAAGUAACUAUGCACGUCUUGACGGUACCUAAUCAGAAAGCCACGGCUAACUACGUG